CUCGGUAGCGAAGGGCUGGAGGCAAACACCGAGCUCCCCCUGAGCCGCCUGGGAGCAGGGAGGGUUCUGCUACCCUGAGGGGCCCUCCCCGCGGGGCAGAGGGGACCAGCCCAACAUGGCUUCCAACACAGAGACCAGAAGGACCCAAUAAGAGACCGAAGACACGACUGAUAAUACAGAAAGGAGGGUGAUGCUGUGUGCAAGGCAGAUACAAGAUGGUUUUUCCAUAAGAGGAAGUGAUCAUGGCAACCAUGACCUUCUCUGACCUUCUCUCUUCCAAGAGGCUGUUGGGAAGGUGGGAUGACCUAGGAUUGACCUUGGACUUGACAUCACAGAAGCCAUUUCAACCUUCACAGGUGGGAGGAAGUCACAGCAUCUACUUCUGAAUCUGUGCUUGCCUUGAGGAAAAACGGCAUGGCACAGGAAUGUGGACGCUUUCAACCAGAGGAUUCUGUACGACGGUGUCGGCACACAUGACAUGAAAUUACUGAAAUCAUAUUUGGCCGAGCAAGCAUGAAGACCACAGAAGGACAGAGAUGGGAGAUCGUCAUUAGUUUAACAAGGAGUGUUCCACUGACUGACCUCUUUUUGUUUUCAAAUGAAGAGGAGCCAAGAAUAGGACAGCUUGGGAAGGUGACAGGUUGCCAAGCUGCCAAGAACUCCUGCCUCUGCUCAUACUGCUCUGCUGAAGUACAUUUGCGACAUCAACCAUCAAAUUACAUAUAAAUAUCUCAUCCUCGUCUACGGCCAAACGUUGGUUUCUCAUUUCUAGAAGAUGAAAGAUGUGAUGACUCAGGAAAAACUGGAAUCUUAGUAACUGUGGUGGGCAUUGAGCCUUGCCGUCCACAAGAGAAAGCUUGCUGCUCGAGAUGUGAGUCUUCAGAUGUUCCUGCCGCCAUAUCUGACAGCUGCUGCCAAGAUUCCCUGGUGGGAUGGACUCUUAUACCUCAACAACCAGAAGCCCAAGUAAACUCUUCUAUAAAUUGAAUGACUCAUGCUUAAAAAAAAAAACAAAAAACAAA
rnacentral:lncRNA from 1 species